CAGGCUGCUAAUCUCUAUGUAAUCAAGCUCUCUGUCUUGGAUAAUGAGAUCAUUCUUAAUGGUUUGGGUCAUAUCAUAUCAGCAAUUUUAACUGAAUAUAUAAAGCAAUAUUCAUCUUCUCAUGAAGAGCCAAAGUCAUUAAUAGGCGCUGUUACCAGCUGGGUAAGAA